rnacentral:rRNA from 1 species
AUGAUAGGUAUUUUUUGGAACAUUAGAGGGUUGAAUGGCCCCAUUAAAGUUGACAAACUGAAAGAGCUCAUUAGAGCCAAUAGCCCUGAUUUUAUUUGUAUUUCUGAGACCAAGAAAGAAGAAUUUACUCUUCUACAGCUUGAAGCUUUUGAUCCCAGAUCUGAUUUCCAAUGGAAAUGGCUCCCUGCAAUUAACACUGCGGGAGGGAUUUUGAUUGGAUGUAAGGUGGAUCUGUUUGAAUUAGUCCAAUGUGAUUUACACAAUUUCAGUAUUUCUUGCUUGCUUAAAAACAAACAGGAUCUCUCUAUUUGGAGACUUAUUGCUGUUUAUGGUUCUGCCUAUGACCAGUUUAAAAUGGAUUUCAUUAAUGAACUCCACUCCUUGUCAACUGACUGGUCAGGGCCCACUCUGGUUGGGGGUGAUUUCAAUCUUAUUAGAGAGGCUAGUGAUAAAAACACUGGUGUUAUUAAUCAACAUUGGGCUGACCUCUUUAAUGACUGGGUUAAUAGAUUUGGCUUAUUAGAGCUCAAGAUCAAUGGGCGGAAGUUCACUUGGGGCAAUAACCAGGACAAUUUAGUGUUGGCCACCAUAGAUAGAGUGUUCAUGUCCACUGAUUGGGCCUCUGCUUACCCUGGUGUGCACCUUAAAGCACUAUCUAGAUUAGGGAGUGAUCACACUCCACUGGUAAUUAAUACCUGUGCUUUCUCCAUUCCCAAAUACAAGCAUUUCAGAUUUGAAAAGUGGUGCCUGGAAGUAGAUGGGUUUAGAGAUGUUGUGGUUAAAGCUUGGAUUGCUAAAUGCCCUUUUAAAAAGGCAAUAGAUGUCUGGUAG